rnacentral:rRNA from 1 species
CCUACGGGAGGCAGCAGUGGGGGAUAUUGCACAAUGGGGGAAACCCUGAUGCAGCGACGCCGCGUGGGCGAAGAAGUAUUUCGGUAUGUAAAGCCCUAUCCGCAGUGAAGAAGAAAUGACGGUACCUGAGUAAGAAGCACCGGCUAAAUACGUGCAAGCAGCCGCGGUAAUACGUAUGGUGCAAGCGUUAUCCGGAUUUACUGGGUGGAAAGGGAGCGCAGGCGGCACGGCAAGCCUGAUGUGAAAGCCCGCGGCCCAACCGGGGGACUGCAUUGGGAACUACCGGGCUGGAGUGCCGGAGAGGUAGGCGGAAUUCCGAGGGGAGCGGUGAAAUGCGUAGAUAUUAGGAGGAACACCAGUGGCGAAGGCGGCCUACUGGACGGUGACUGACGCUGAGGCUCGAAAGCGUGGGGAGCAAACAGGAUUAGAUACCCUUGUAGUC